rnacentral:rRNA from 1 species
GACGAACGCGGCGGCGUGCUUAACACAUGCAAGUCGAACGGGAACCUUUAUUUCGGUAAAGGUGAGAGUGGCAAACGGGUGAGUAACACGUAGGCAACCUGCCGACAGGAUGGGGACAACAUUCCGAAAGGAAUGCUAAUACCGAAUGAAGUCACCGGAGGGCAUCCUCUGGUGAUGAAAGAUGGCCUCUGAAUAUGCUAUCACCUGUCGAUGGGCCUGCGUCUGAUUAGCCAGUUGGCGGGGUAACGGCCCACCAAAGCGACGAUCAGUAGCCGGUCUGAGAGGAUGAACGGCCACAUUGGGACUGAGACACGGCCCAGACUCCUACGGGAGGCAGCAGUGGGGAAUCUUCCACAAUGGGCGAAAGCCUGAUGGAGCAACGCCGCGUGAGUGAAGAAGGUCUUCGGAUCGUAAAGCUCUGUUUGCACGGGGACGAAAAACUGGG